UUCAGACGAUGCGUCAUGCAUAUCAAUAAGCGGAGGAAAAGAAACUAACUAGGAUUCCCUCAGUAACGGCGAGUGAAGCGGGAAGAGCUCAAAUUUGAAAUCUUCAAGGUUCUACCUUGACGAAUUGUAGUUUAAAGAAGUGUUUUCUGUUGGAGUUUUGGUAAAAGUUCUUUGGAAUAGGACAUCACAGAGGGUGAGAAUCCCGUAUUUGACCAUUAUUUCCAGCUUUGUGAUACACUUUCAAAGAGUCGGAUUGUUUGGGAAUGCAGUCCAAAAUGGGUGGUAAAUUUCAUCUAAAGCUAAAGUAUUGGCGAGAGACCGAUAGCGAACAAGUACCGUGAGGGAAAGAUGAAAAGAACUUUGAAAAGAGAGUUAAACAGUACGUGAAAUUGUCAAAAGGGAAGCGUUUGACACCAGUGUUGUUUUCCUCGAAAAUCAAUUAAAAAAGGCAGGAUUUUGUGUUGUAUUGACUUUAUCAGCUUUCUGCACUCUUUUCUUGUCUUUUUUUAAUGCACUUUUCGUUUAACAAGUCAACAUCAAUUUCUUUUGUUGUAAAAGGGUCAUUGGAAGGUGGCUUUCUUUUCGGAGAAAGUGUUUAUAGCCUUUGGCCUCUGCAAUCGGAGAGAUUGAGGUCUGCAGCGUAGAUCCUUCGGGGUUAGAUACAUUUGUGCUAAGUUAUAGCCUUUCAUAGACAACUUGUUGACUAUGAUCAGUCAUGUAGCUUACUCGCUUAUGCUAUUUUACCUACGCUUAGGAUGUUGAUCUACAGAGCGAGAGU
rnacentral:rRNA from 1 species